UCCGCUGAGGGUCUCAGAAACCGCUUCAGCCUGCUGCUUUCGCUGGGGGGACCGAGGUGCCCAUCCAGCUAUCACCAUCGCCUGCAGUGCCACCACCUGCGGCUCCCACGCCGCCGCCUGCAGCGCCUCCGUCUCCGGCUUCCACGCCGCCGCCUACAGCAACAUCCUCGUCUGGUCCAGCCUCCGUGUCUGCAUCCGGCCUGGUCAGCCUCCGUGUCUUCUUCCUCCCUGGUCCGCCUCCGUGUCUUCUUCCUCGCCUGGUCCAGCCUCUGUGUCUUCGCCCUCGUCUGGUCCAGCCUCCGUGUCUUCGCCCUCGCCUGGUCCAGCCUCCGUGUCUUCUCCUCGCCUGGUCCAGCCUCCGUGUCUUCGCCCUCGCCUGGUCCAGCCUCCGUGUCUGCAUUCUGCUGCAGCAGCUUCAUCAUCACCAUCCUCGCCUGCAGCAGCAGCAGCUUCAUCAUCAUCAUCCUCGCCUGGCCUGGCCUCUGCUUCAUCAUCAUCAUCCUCGCGUGGCCCAGCCUCUGCUUCAUCAUCAUCAUCCUCGCCUGGCCCGGCCUCUGCGUCAGCUUCAGCUUCGCCUGGCCCGGCCUCUGUAUCAGCUCCAGCCUCGCCUGGUUUCUUCAGCAGCAGCUUCAGCCUCAUCCUUCUCCUCAUCCUUGCCUGGUUCUGCUGUUGGCACGCCGCCAUCCGGUCCGCGUCUACCGCAUCAUCAUCACCGGCCGUUUUCUCGGCCGUUGGCUGGUCAUCAUCGCCGUUGUGGGCGUCCUCCUGAACGAGGUUGUCGCCGCCACUGCCUUCUUCGUGGACGGCCUCCCGAACUGUCUCAGCCUGGCCUUCUGUGCUAUCGGCCCCCAGGCCGGCCACCUGAACUAUGUUUCGGACUCUGCUCCCCUGUGUGUUUUGUUUGGGACUCUAGCUCCUCCAUUUCCUUCCAUUUAUUAAACUGAUUUGUAUUACAUUAGACUGCUGAUUUAUUGUGAAUGAAUGAUAUUGUUUUAUGAUGCAUUAUACUGCGGAGUUAUAAGAAAUACCGUUUUCAGAGAGUCAUGGCCUUAUUUGUCUGAUUAGAAGAGAACAGAACAUACCGGAGAGGUUUUCUGCCCCAUCUCAUCAGGAGGAGAUAAAACAGGGAGCCAAGGCCGCCACUUAGGCACCGUAAGAGAGAAAGAAUGUGAAUGUUUAGGGUUUUACGACUAGGUGGGGACCAGUAGAGGCUAUAAGAGGCUGAAUAACCCUCCACCAUUUUGAGAUUUGCUGUGACCCUCUGCAUGCAUGUCUCCCCAUCCGGAUGGUUUAUGCUCAUAAAGUAUUGAAUUGUAUGGAAAUAAAUAAUUGUUGAUUGAGCAUUUAUACACCGAGUAUUGUCCUUCCUUCAGCCCAAAGAUUAAAAGAAUUGGGAGAUUUUAACUUCCUGUCUAGGUUGUUCAUUGCAGCAGAUAGUUGCCCCCAACUGAGCCUGCUUUCAGAAAAAUAUGUAAACACUAACCAAAUUGUGCUGUUAGACACUCAGCAUUGACUUCCAUCUCCAAUGAGUUCCAAUGUGCAGUCUGUGAGUCGCACAUUGUUGAGUUAUAAGUGUUUCCAACUCGUCUUCAUCAUUACAGCAGGAAGCUGUAAAGUUUGAGUUGUAAGGGAGCUGAUUUAAAGGUGGAUGCUGAAAUGGCUCAGGAAUUGCCAGG
ensembl:lncRNA